GGGCUCGUGGUCUAGUCGGUUAUGACGUCGCCCUUACACGGCGAAGAUCGCCGGUUCGAAUCCGGCCGGGCCCA
rnacentral:tRNA from 3 species